UUACAAGGUUUCUCUAUAGCCAAAUAAGAAAAACUGCCCCGCCCACUGGCGGCCAUGUUUUUCAACGGAUCAGAACCACUUUUUAACUCAACCAAGAUAUCAUUAAGAAAAACAUUUUGACAAAGUUACAUGAAGAUUGGGCAUGAAAUGUGACUUCUACAGUGUUUACAAGGUUUUUCUUUUUUUUUACCUAGUGACCUAGUUUUUGACCCGGCACAAUCCAGUUUCGAACUCGGCCGAGAUUUUAUUGGGACAAAGCUUUUGACCAAGUUUCAUGAAGAUGGGACAAGAAAUGUGGCCUCUAGAGU